UACGCGAGCAACCCUAAUUGUUAAGCCAUCGCCUUCUUCUCUCUUCCUUGUUCUAAACUACAUUAUCAAAAUAAGCCGUCUACCUCUCUGUAUCUUUCUACCACUCCCCACCUCUCUAAAACUCUCUGUGAUAAAGUGGUACUACUGAUAUAGUGAUGGCAUAAAUUAAUUAUUAUAAACAAAUUUUGCAUUCUAAUGUGGGAAUUGAGAGGGUUGUGGAUAAAAUUGGAGAUUCAUUUCCAAAAGUUGUAUGGAGUUAUUAAGUGGUUCCUGAUUUCGCUUACUGUUCAGUAGUCAAUUGUUUUUGAUGGUUUGAAUUUCUACCGGAACUUCUUUCUAUAUAAGGAUUUGGAUAUUCAAAUAGGUAAGCAAGGCGACUAAUCUUUAGAGAAGGAAAAAGAUGGUUGAUCGUUUUCCAAGAGUCAACUUCUGCAACUCAAAUAACACCAAAAGCCAAAACGCUCUAUUGACGGAAGAAAUCAAUCUAAAUCUAAAAUUUAUGAAUUUUGGUUAUAUAAUAUUUAUUUUUAAAAGUUCUUUUUUUUUGGUUGAAUUGUGUAAUUUUUUCAUCUGGAAAUAAUACAAUUUUUAUUUAUUCA